rnacentral:rRNA from 1 species
AAGAAGAGCUUGCUCUUUGGAUUAGUGGCGAACGGGUGAGUAACACGUGAGUAACCUGCCCUUGACUCUGGGAUAAGCGUUGGAAACGACGUCUAAUACCGGAUACGACCAGCCUCGGCAUCGGGUGUUGGUGGAAAGAAUUUUGGUCAAGGAUGGACUCGCGGCCUAUCAGGUAGUUGGUGAGGUAAUGGCUCACCAAGCCUACGACGGGUAGCCGGCCUGAGAGGGUGACCGGCCACACUGGGACUGAGACACGGCCCAGACUCCUACGGGAGGCAGCAGUGGGGAAUAUUGCACAAUGGGCGAAAGCCUGAUGCAGCAACGCCGCGUGAGGGACGACGGCCUUCGGGUUGUAAACCUCUUUUAGCAGGGAAGAAGCGAAAGUGACGGUACCUGCAGAAAAAGCACCGGCUAACUACGUGCCAGCAGCCGCGGUAAUACGUAGGGUGCAAGCGUUGUCCGGAAUUAUUGGGCGUAAAGAGCUCGUAGGCGGUUUGUCGCGUCUGCUGUGAAAACCCGAGGCUCAACCUCGGGCCUGCAGUGGGUACGGGCAGACUANAGUGCGGUAGGGGAGAUUGGAAUCCUGGUGUACGGUGGAAUGCGCAAUAUCAGGAGGAACACCGAUGGCAAGGCAGAUCUCUGGGCCGUUACUUGACCUGANGAGCGAAAGGGUGGGGACAAACAGGCUUAAUACCUGGGUAGUC